rnacentral:rRNA from 1 species
GACGAACGCUGGCGGCGUGCUUAACACAUGCAAGUCGUACGGUAAGGUCCUUUCGGGGGUCCACGAGUGGCGAACGGGUGAGUAACACGUGAGUAACCUGCCCACAACUUUGGGAUAACGCUAGGAAACUGGUGCUAAUACUGGAUAUGUGCUCCUGCUGCAUGGUGGGGGUUGGAAAGCUCCGGCGGUUGUGGAUGGACUCGCGGCCUAUCAGCUUGUUGGUGGGGUAGUGGCCUACCAAGGCGGCGACGGGUAGCCGGCCUGAGAGGGUGACCGGCCACAUUGGGACUGAGAUACGGCCCAGACUCCUACGGGAGGCAGCAGUGGGGAAUAUUGCACAAUGGGCGCAAGCCUGAUGCAGCAACGCCGCGUGCGGGAUGACGGCCUUCGGGUUGUAAACCGCUUUCAGCAGGGACGAAGCUUUUUGUGACGGUACCUGCAGAAGAAGCACCGGCUAACUACGUG